rnacentral:rRNA from 1 species
CUUCGGGUUGUAAACUGCUUUUGUACGGAACGAAACGGUCUGGGUUAAUACCCUGGGCUAAUGACGGUACCGUAAGAAUAAGCACCGGCUAACUACGUGCCAGCAGCCGCGGUAAUACGUAGGGUGCAAGCGUUAAUCGGAAUUACUGGGCGUAAAGCGUGCGCAGGCGGUUUUGUAAGACAGUCGUGAAAUCCCCGGGCUCAACCUGGGAAUGGCGAUUGUGACUGCAAAGCUGGAGUGCGGCAGAGGGGGAUGGAAUUCCGCGUGUAGCAGUGAAAUGCGUAGAUAUGCGGAGGAACACCGAUGGCGAAGGCAAUCCCCUGGGCCUGCACUGACGCUCAUGCACGAAAGCGUGGGGAGCAAACAGGAUUAGAUACCCUGGUAGUCCACGCCCUAAACGAUGUCAACUGGUUGUUGGGUCUCUUCUGACUCAGUAACGAAGCUAACGCGUGAAGUUGACCGCCUGGGGAGUAC